UACGAAGGCAGCAGUGGGGAAUAUUGCACAAUGGGCGAAAGCCUGAUGCAGCUAUGCCGCGUGUAUGAAGAAGGCCUUAGGGUUGUAAAGUACUUUCAUCGGGGAGGAAAAAACAAAACUAAUAAUUUUAUUUCUUGACGUUACCCGAAAAAGAAGCACCGGCUAACUCCGUGCCAGCAGCCGCGGUAAUACGGAGGGUGCUAGCGUUAAUCAGAAUUACUGGGCGUAAAGAGCACGUAGGUGGUUUUUUUAAGUCAGAUGUGAAAUCCCUGGGCUUAACCUGGAACUGCAUUUUGAAACUGAAAUACUAGAGUAUCGUAGAGGGAGGUAGAAUUCUAGGUGUAGCGGUGAAAUGCGUAGAUAUCUGGAGGAAUACCUGUGGCGAAAGCGGCCUCCUAAACGAAUACUGACACUGAGGUGCGAAAGCGUGGGGAGCAAACAGGGAUUAGAUACC
rnacentral:rRNA from 1 species